CCUACGGGGUGCAGCAGUGAGGAAUAUUGGUCAAUGGGCGGAAGCCUGAACCAGCCAAGUAGCGUGCAGGAUGACGGCCCUACGGGUUGUAAACUGCUUUUAUACGGGAAUAACGCGCCUUACGUGUAGGGCUUUGCAUGUACCGUAUGAAUAAGGACCGGCUAAUUCCGUGCCAGCAGCCGCGGUAAUACGGAGGGUCCGGGCGUUAUCCGGAUUUAUUGGGUUUAAAGGGCGCGUAGGCCGCAUGUCAAGCGUGCUGUGAAAUGUCCGGGCUCAACCCGGGCCUUGCAGCGCGAACUGGCGUGCUUGAGUGGGCGAGAAGUAUGCGGAAUGCGUGGUGUAGCGGUGAAAUGCAUAGAGAUCACGCAGAACUCCGAUUGCGAAGGCAGCAUACCGGCGCCCAACUGACGCUGAAGCACGAAAGCGUGGGUAUCGAACAGGAUUAGAUACCCGAGUAGUC
rnacentral:rRNA from 1 species